rfam:Schistosoma mansoni strain Puerto Rico chromosome W, complete genome
UUCCAGCUGAUGAGUCUCAAAUAGGACGAGACGAGUGUCCUGGAU